UCCCGUUUUUGCAGGAUAGCCGUCGGAGC
rnacentral:piRNA from 1 species